GGCGAUAGGGGUGAAACGCCAUUAGAUUCAAUUAGAUAAGAUAGGUGAUCAAAGUUCAAGAAAUUUGAGAAAUUGUCAAAGUUCAAAUUCCUAAUCUGAGGGUCACAGGUUCGAAUCCUGUCGGGGUCACCA
rnacentral:tRNA from 1 species